rnacentral:rRNA from 1 species
GAUGAACGCUGGCGGCGUGCCUAAUACAUGCAAGUCGAGCGAACAGACGAGGAGCUUGCUCCUCUGACGUUAGCGGCGGACGGGUGAGUAACACGUGGAUAACCUACCUAUAAGACUGGGAUAACUUCGGGAAACCGGAGCUAAUACCGGAUAAUAUAUUGAACCGCAUGGUUCAAUAGUGAAAGUCGGUUUUGCUGUCACUUAUAGAUGGAUCCGCGCCGCAUUAGCUAGUUGGUAAGGUAACGGCUUACCAAGGCAACGAUGCGUAGCCGACCUGAGAGGGUGAUCGGCCACACUGGAACUGAGACACGGUCCAGACUCCUACGGGAGGCAGCAGUAGGGAAUCUUCCGCAAUGGGCGAAAGCCUGACGGAGCAACGCCGCGUGAGUGAUGAAGGUCUUCGGAUCGUAAAACUCUGUUAUUAGGGAAGAACAAAUGUGUAAGUAACUAUGCACGUCUUGACGGUACCUAAUCAGAAAGCCACGGCUAACUAC